rnacentral:rRNA from 1 species
UACGUAGGGGGCAAGCGUUGUCCGGAUUUAUUGGGCGUAAAGAGCGUGUAGGCGGUCAGGUAGGUCCGUUGUGAAAACUCGAGGCUCAACCUCGAGACGCCGAUGGAAACCAUGUGGCUAGAGUCCGGAAGAGGAGAGUGGAAUUCCUGGUGUAGCGGUGAAAUGCGCAGAUAUCAGGAAGAACACCCGUGGCUAAGGCGGCUCUCUAGUACGGUACUGACGCUGAGACGCGAAAGCGUGGGGAGCGAACAGG